UACGUAGGGUGCGAGCGUUGUCCGGAAUUAUUGGGCGUAAAGAGCUCGUAGGCGGUUUGUUGCGUCGGCUGUGAAAUCCCGAGGCUCAACCUCGGGUCUGCAGUCGAUACGAGCAAACUAGAGUGUUGCAGGGGAGACUGGAAUUCCUGGUGUAGCGGUGAAAUGCGCAGAUAUCAGGAGGAACACCGGUGGCGAAGGCGGGUCUCUGGGCCGAUACUGACGCUGAGGAGCGAAAGCGUGGGGAGCGAACAGG
rnacentral:rRNA from 1 species